rnacentral:antisense_RNA from 1 species
AGUCCCCUCUUGUUGCCCAGGCUGGAGUGCAGCAGCAUGAUUACAGCUCACAUCAGCCUCGACCUCCCGGGCUCAAGCUAUCCUCCUACCUCAGCCUCCCAAGUAGCUGGGACUAUAGGAUCUUUCUGCUGAUGCAGCUGUUAAGAGUGUUUCAUAAACUGUGACACUGAGCUCCUAAGACUUGGAGUACUUUGUUACACAGCAGUAAAUAACUAAUACAGUGAUGUUUGAACAAAGACUUGAAGAAGCUGAGUGAGAAGGCCAUGCGGAUAUCUUGGAGAAGUGCAUUCCAGGAAGAGGAAAAGCCAGUGCAGAGACACUGAAGCAGGGCAUGACUGAUGUGUGUAAGGAGCUCAUAUAUAUGAUCAUCUACAGUCCACUGAGGAGAAUAGCAGACGAGAGGCCAGGUGCAGUGCAUGUAAUCCCAGCACUUUGGGAGACUGAGAUGGGAAGAUCGCUUGAGGCCAGGAGUGCAAGACCAGCCUGGGCAACAUAGCAAGAACUUGACUCUACUAAAAAAAAAAAGGAUCCUUCAACUUCAACAAUAACAACACGAGGGAAGUGAAGAAAAACACUUUCUAAGGAAAUCUCUCUCUGAGCUACCAUCCGGCUAGGGAGAGCCUGAAAGCAGAAUGCUGACUUGACUAGCUCUGGCCAAUAAAGGAAAUCACCAGUGGAAAGGCUACCAGGGGGCUUCCUCAAAAGAGAGGGACGGUAAACUGCAAGACGAACAACUCGAUGCCAUCCAGGUCUGGAUGAGAAAGAAGAGUCG